CCUACGGGAGGCUGCAGUGGGGAAUAUUGGACAAUGGGGGCAACCCUGAUCCAGCCAUGCCGCGUGUGUGAAGAAGGCCCUCGGGUUGUAAAGCACUUUCAGUGAGGAAGAACGCCUGGUGGUUAAUACCCAUCAGGAAAGACAUCACUCACAGAAGAAGCACCGGCUAACUCCGUGCCAGCAGCCGCGGUAAUACGGAGGGUGCGAGCGUUAAUCGGAAUUACUGGGCGUAAAGCGCGCGUAGGUGGCUUGAUAAGCCGGUUGUGAAAGCCCCGGGCUCAACCUGGGAACGGCAUCCGGAACUGUCAAGCUAGAGUGCAGGAGAGGAAGGUAGAAUUCCCGGUGUAGCGGUGAAAUGCGUAGAGAUCGGGAGGAAUACCAGUGGCGAAGGCGGCCUUCUGGACUGACACUGACACUGAGGUGCGAAAGCGUGGGUAGCAAACAGGAUUGGAUACCCCAGUAGUC
rnacentral:rRNA from 1 species